rnacentral:lncRNA from 1 species
AAACAAGAGAAAAAGAAAAAAGGGAUUGGGUGAGGAUAUAUCAUUUCAGUUUUUGUUGAAAGUUAAGUUUGUUUUCGUUGCAGCAGCAUAGCAAAACAGGAUUUGACUAUUUCAGUUAGUUUUAGGUAUGUUUACUGUGAAUUAACAAUACAUAAUUCAUUGUUUAGCUUACAAUUUUAUAUACUUUUCACUGUUUUCUUUAAUCUUCAAACCAUGAAAAAUAUGGGUUAGUUUGAACAGAUCGUAUGUGGGUUUUGGAAUAUUUGCUUCUCUGUGAAAUAAUUUUAUAUAUUCUUUAGUUUUAUUUAAUAUAGAACAUAUGUUUAUUUUUUCUUGCUAUAGGUAGGUUUUUAUUUUUUCUACCUUGUUAGAUCUUUGUUUUUAGUGUUUAGUGAUUAGUGAGGAUUACAUAAAAAUAUUUCUGGGAAUGUUUGACGUUCAGUAGGAUUUUGUUGUGAUUUGCAUUUUUGAAGAGAAUUAUUUAUUUUGGGAAAAUUGUUUAAGAUUACAUAUAAAAUGAGAAGCCGAGAAAAAGAAAAUAAGAAAAAAAAAAUAGGAAACGUUGUUUAGGAUUAUAUGUUAAAAAAAAAAAGAAGCUGAGAAAAAGAAAAUAAGAGGAAAAGAGGAAAAGAAGGAAAAAAGAUUGGAUCAGGAUAUAUAAUUUCAAUUUUUGCUGGAGAUAAAAUUUAUGUUUGUUGCAUCAGUAUAGGUAAGAUUGACUAUGUAUUUUUGGGGAGAGAAAAAUAAAUUAAACAGUUAAAAAUGUUUUUAGUUAGAUUGAGAGUGGAGAAACAUGUUUGUAAUUGUCAUUUAGGCUAUAAGAAGCGAAAAAAUCAAUAGAAUAAAACUAUUUUCCUUCAAUUGAAAAUUGUAAAUAGUAUAUUUGCUUUUGUAAAUUAAUAAUUUUGGUAGAAAAUUUUUAAAUAAGGAAGAACGUUUAUUGUUUUCUAUAUUAGAUAGAAGAUAAAAAAUGAAUGAAAGGCAACAUGUGAAAUAAACAUGAAGGCUAUUUGAAGUUGCUUUUUUCAUUUCUUCUUAUACUUCUUUUGCUUAGAUAAAUAUAAGAAUCCGUGAUAUCGGAUUAGCAUAAAUAUAAAGGUCAUUAAUGAAAUAUUUCUUCAAAAUAUUUUUCGUAAAGUAGCAACAUAGAUACGUUGGACAUACUACUUACGUACUACUCAUAGAAAUAGUCUAUUAUUUAAAAGUAAAUCAAUGGUUAUUGAAAUUUACAAAUAGGAUGUGUUCAAAAUGGUUUAUUUAUAUGUUUAAAAAUGAUGAAUUGUAAAUUUUUUUUUAUUAAAUUAUAGAAAUUCAUAUGUUGUAUUUUUUAAAUUUUUACUAAAUAAGAUUAUUAAACAUUAGAAUAUAAAGUAUAAUAGUAGCUCUUAAAUUUCUUAUUAGUUUAGUUUGAAUGUUUAUCUUUUGUACUUUUAUUAAAGUGUAAUAUAUGCUAUGUUAAUUUAUGUUCUUAUAUAUUGUAAGUAAGUUAAUAUGGUUUAAACAUUUUGAUGUAGAUACUUUUGUUUUACUUUAAAAUGUAAAUGUGCUAAUAGUCUUUUUUAAUUUUUUCAGUUCCUGUCUGUUAGUUUGGGCUUGAAGUAUUCCAUAAAUUGUCUUAUUCUUAUUAUUGAUGCUUCAAAUACAUGUAAUGGAGUAAUUGGUUGUAUGAAGUUUGAAACAAUGCGUCAUCAUGAAUAAGAAAACCAAAGGCAAAGAGAUAGACGAAAUCGACUUGGAAAUGGUUGCAACGAUCGUCGUAAGAGGAUAACUUAUCCUAUGUCAUCUGAGAAUAAUAAUUUUAAUGUUGCAGAAAUGCAACAAUGUAUAAUGGAUGAUGAUUUCGAUACUUCUACUUCAAAUGAAAAGAUACCUAAUAUUUCUAAUCAUACAUUAGAAGUAAAUUUAAUGAAUUAGAUAUAGCAACAACUGCAUAUGUAUUACCGAUACGCAACAAUUGUAAACAUUAAGGUGCAAAAAGAUUUCAUAGAGAAAGUAAAGAUUUUUAUUGUUCUGAUGGAAAAGUUCAUAUCUCUAUGCCUAAUUCACCGAAUGGACUAUACAAUUUAUUCACUUCUAAAGAACCUAAAUGCAUGGAAUUUAAGAAAAUUGCAUGAGGAUUUAAUAACGAUUUUGUUUUUACUUCAUUUGGUGUAAAAUAUGACAAAGAACUCUUUAAAGCAUACAGAGGUAUUUACACAUUUAGAGUUCAAAGACAAGUAUAUCAUUAUGUAAAUGAACUCGUUCCACAGAAUAGUAUACCUCCUUAUAUACAGUUAUAUUUUUAUGAUACAGAUAAUGAACUUGAAAAUCAUAUGUAAAUUUCAGAGAAUUUUGUCUAAUGUAUUUUAAGUACUUUAAUUAAAAUCUUGAAGGUUAAUCCAUGUAGUACAUUUUUCCAAUCGUUAAGUAAUAUGACUAAUUUGCAAGACUACCGAAUACACAUAAGAUGUGAUUCAUGACUUGAUAUAAGAGUUUUUAAUACUCAUACAGCAUCUCAGGUAGUUGCUGUAUGCGUAGAAAAUGAUAAGAACGCUAAUCAUCGUCUUCAUGAUAUUAUUAUAUAUGAUAAUUCUGAUGAUUCACAUAAAAUUCAUUAUUAUUACGGUUGUAAUGAUCCUUUGCAGUAUCCAUUACUUUUUCCAUAUGGAGAAUCUGGUUGGCAUGAGGGUAUUGAAAGGUGUAGAAAAAGGUCUUUUCAGCUUGAACAUUUGUCUGAAUUUGUUGCAAUCUCUAAUACGAUUACCUUUGCAGCUGAAAUUAUUGAAAAAGAAAAUAAAGGUUUGAAAAAAAAAAUUUGUUUAUUUAUCUAAGUUUUUUAGUGUCAAUAUUGUAAAUGAUUGAUAAUUUAUUUUGCAGUACUUAAUGGAAUGAAGAAACGAUUUCAUGUUUCUUGCCGUGAAUAUUAUUCAUAUAAAUUGCAAAUUAGGUGUUACAGUAAGUCUGAUUUACUUCACAGUGGUAGAUUGUUUCAG